rnacentral:tmRNA from 3 species
GGGGAUGAAUGUUUUGAUGAAAAACUGAUUCAAAACAAGCAAGCCAAGUCGCUGAAUCUUGUAAAAAAUCAGCAAAAAAGUAAGUGUAAACUCAUUUACAAAAGUUAAAGACGCGUUUGUUUCUGCUUUCAGCGGAAGAAUGGCUUUAGCUCCUGUCUGCGCUUAAAAACCGUAGGCCAUCUGACUUAUUAAUUCUCGCUAAAUAAAAUCAGGUGUCAUAUCAGCGAGAUGGGCGGUAUUCUCCGAAUGCAGGAAUUCCGCUAAGACAAUUGCAUUCAAGGCACAGGAAUUUUGCUUAGUUUAUAGCCUGCGCCCCUUAAAAACUAAGCUAAGCUUGUAGAAUUGUUUUGGAAAAUUUUUCAGACGCGGGUUCAAUCCCGCCAUCUCCACAA